AGUGAACGCUGGCGGCAUGCCUUACACAUGCAAGUCGAACGGCAACAGGGUAACGGCUGGCGCUUAGUGGUGGCGGGGUGCGUAAGGGAUCGGAAUGCGUCCGGAGCUGCGGGUUCAUGCAGGAUAACGUGGGCAAACUUCCGCUGAGACCUGAUGAGGACUGCGGGUGACAACAGGGCAACGUUUGGCCUUGCGCCUUUGGAGCAGCCGAUGUCGGAUUAGGUAGUUGGGGGGGUAAAGGCCUACCAAGGCGACGAUCUGUAGCUGGUCUGAGAGGACGACCAGCCACACUGGAACUGAGACACGGCCCAGACUCCUACGGGAGGCAGCAGUGGGGAAUUUUGGACAAUGGGCGCAAGCCUGAUCCAGCAAUGCCGCGUGCGGGAAGAAGGCCUUCGGGUUGUAAACCGCUUUUGUACGGAACGAAAAGGCUCUGGCUAAUACCUGGGGCUGAUGACGGUACCGUAAGAAUAAGCACCGGCUAACUACGUG
rnacentral:rRNA from 1 species